CAACAGGGAUUGCCCCAGUAACGGCGAGUGAAGCGGCAACAGCUCAAUUUGAAAUCUGGCGCAAGCCCGAGUUGUAAUUUGCAGAGGAUGCUUUUGGUGCGGUGCCUUCUGAGUUCCCUGGAACGGGACGCCAGAGAGGGUGAGAGCCCCGUACAGUUGGACACCAAGCCGAUGUAAAGCUCCUUCGACGAGUCGAGUAGUUUGGGAAUGCUGCUCUAAAUGGGAGGUAAAUGCCUUCUAAAGCUAAAUACCGGCCAGAGACCGAUAGCGCACAAGUAGAGUGAUCGAAAGAUGAAAAGCACUUUGAAAAGAGGGUUAAAAAGUACGUGAAAUUGUUGAAAGGGAAGGGCUCGUGACCAGACUUGCGCCCGUCGGAUCAUCCGGCCUUCUGGCCGGUGCACUCCGGCGGGCUCAGGCCAGCAUCGGUUCUUCUGGGGGGACAAAGACGGCGGGAACGUAGCUCCUCCGGGAGUGUUAUAGCCCGCCGCAGAAUACCCCCGGGGGGACCGAGGACCGCGCUUCGGCAAGGAUGCUGGCGUAAUGGUCACCAGCCACCCGUCUUGAAACACGGACCAAGGAGUCAAGCAUUAGGGCGAGUGUUUGGGUGUCAAACCCGCACGCGAAAUGAAAGUGAACGCAGGUGAGAGCUUCGGCGCAUCAUCGACCGAUCCUGAUGUUUUCGGAUGGAUUUGAGUAAGAGCCUUACCGCUUGGACCCGAAAGAUGGUGAACUAUGCUUGGAUAGGGUGAAGCCAGAGGAAACUCUGGUGGAGGCUCGCAGCGGUUUCUGACGUGCAAAUCGAUCGUCAAAUCUGAGCAUGGGG
rnacentral:rRNA from 1 species